rnacentral:rRNA from 1 species
GGACGGAGAAGGCUAUGUUGGCCGGGCGACGGUUGUCCCGGUUUAAGCGUGUAGGUGUGUGUUCCAGGUAAAUCCGGUUCACUUUAACACUGAGGCGUGACGACGAGGCACUACGGUGCUGAAGCAACAAAUGCCCUGCUUCCAGGAAAAGCCUCUAAGCAUCAGGUAACAUCAAAUCGUACCCCAAACCGACACAGGUGGUCAGGUAGAGAAUACCAAGGCGCUUGAGAGAACUCGGGUGAAGGAACUAGGCAAAAUGGUGCCGUAACUUCGGGAGAAGGCACGCUGACACGUAGGUGAAGUGAUUUACUCAUGGAGCUGAAGUCAGUCGAAGAUACCAGCUGGCUGCAACUGUUUAUUAAAAACACAGCACUGUGCAAACACGAAAGUGGACGUAUACGGUGUGACGCCUGCCCGGUGCCGGAAGGUUAAUUGAUGGGGUCAGCGCAAGCGAAGCUCCUGAUCGAAGCCCCGGUAAACGGCGGCCGUAACUAUAACGGUCCUAAGGUAGCGAAAUUCCUUGUCGGGUAAGUUCCGACCUGCACGAAUGGCGUAAUGAUGGCCAGGCUGUCUCCACCCGAGACUCAGUGAAAUUGAACUCGCUGUGAAGAUGCAGUGUACCCGCGGCAAGACGGAAAGACCCCGUGAACCUUUACUAUAGCUUGACACUGAACAUUGAGCCUUGAUGUGUAGGAUAGGUGGGAGGCUUUGAAGUGUGGACGCCAGUCUGCAUGGAGCCGACCUUGAAAUACCACCCUUUAAUGUUUGAUGUUCUAACGUGGACCCGUUACCCGGGUUGCGGACAGUGUCUGGUGGGUAGUUUGACUGGGGCGGUCUCCUCCUAAAGAGUAACGGAGGAGCACGAAGGUUGGCUAAUCCUGGUCGGACAUCAGGAGGUUAGUGCAAUGGCAUAAGCCAGCUUGACUGCGAGCGUGACGGCGCGAGCAGGUGCGAAAGCAGGUCAUAGUGAUCCGGUGGUUCUGAAUGGAAGGGCCAUCGCUCAACGGAUAAAAGGUACUCCGGGGAUAACAGGCUGAUACCGCCCAAGAGUUCAUAUCGACGGCGGUGUUUGGCACCUCGAUGUCGGCUCAUCACAUCCUGGGGCUGAAGUAGGUCCCAAGGGUAUGGCUGUUCGCCAUUUAAAGUGGUACGCGAGCUGGGUUUAGAACGUCGUGAGACAGUUCGGUCCCUAUCUGCCGUGGGCGCUGGAGAACUGAGGGGGGCUGCUCCUAGUACGAGAGGACCGGAGUGGACGCAUCACUGGUGUUCGGGUUGUCAUGCCAAUGGCACUGCCCGGUAGCUAAAUGCGGAAGAGAUAAGUGCUGAAAGCAUCUAAGCACGAAACUUGCCCCGAG